AUGGACAAAGAAAAUAGAAUCCACUGGAUCAGUUGGGACAAACUCUCACUUCGGAAGAGGGAUGGUGGAUUGGGCUUCCGAGACUUAUACGCUUUCAACCUGGCAAUGUUGGCUCGCCAAGCUUGGAGGAUCUUGCAUAAUCCAUCCUCUCUAUGUGCCAGAGUGCUCUCAGCGAAAUACUUCCCAGAUGGAAAUAUUUUAAAUGCCAAAGGAGUCAGUGGCAUGUCCUACGUCUGGCGUAGCAUUCUAAAGGGCGUCAAACUUCUAAAACAUGGUAUAAUAUGGCGAGUGGGGAAUGGAAAUAACAUAGACAUCUGGAAUGAUCCUUGGAUCCCAAGAGGCACCACGAGACGCACCAUGACCCACAAAGGUCGACAUCUUGUGAACAAAGUUUCGGAGCUGAUGGACCCAAUCAAUGGAGGGUGGGAUGUGGCACUGGUACAACAAACCUUCUUUCCAGAAGAUGUAGAAGCCAUCUUACAGAUUCCAGUAAAUGAAGAGGAGGAAGACUAUGUGGCCUGGCACUUUGACAAGAAAUGUUCAUUCUCGGUCAAGUCUGCAUAUAAGGUGGCCAUAGAUAUUGACAUUCACAAACCAGCUCAAAGUAGCACCUCAACAUCAAAUAGGGGAGACAGAAGAGAGAACUUUGACUAG
rnacentral:rRNA from 1 species